AUGGUCUUGCCUGGAUCCGCCGCGGCCGGCUGGAUGAUGCUGGACCGCUUCAUCUACCACAGGGGCGCGGACGGCGACUGCGACGGCUGGCGCUUCCCGGACGAAUCCACGGCGCCCCUGAGGGCCACUUCGUCCACCUCCAUCGGCGAGCCCUUCGACGUCGCCAUCCUCCACGCCGAGCCCCCUGCAGUCUCCCGCCUCUACCUGCGGUGGCCCGGCGGCACCAACACAAGGGGCGCCGAGCUGGCUGCCGCACACCGCGACCUCCUUCUCUUCCGGUUCGUCUACGUUGACCUCCACGUCACGUUUGACAACUUCGUUUGCGUGGCAUCCUCAGAUCCUGUGCCGCACAUCGAGUUCAAACGCCUUCCCCUUUGCACCAUACCAAUGGUCUUGCCUCCGUUUUUCGAGGAAGACACGGAGGAAAUCACUACACCUCGACACUUUUUGCCCAACACUCUAGGGCUCGUUCGUGGAUCAUCCCCUGGCCAUGAAGAUGAGUUUGUCGUGGCACAGCUGGCUAGUAUCACUAAGAUACCAGGCCCAGACGACAUGAUGGAAGCUGAAGUGUGCAUGAUCCGCUCUCGUGUAUCAGCUACGGAUGAUGAUGGCACAUGGGAGCUUCAUAAGAUACCCAUCCAGCACAAGGAGCAUCAAUACUUGAGACUCGUCGAUUGGUCGACUUGCGCUGUCACCACGUUCAACAACCGUAUUUGCUGGAUUUCCUACUACACAGGAGGUAUUCUAUUUUAUGAUGUAUUCGCAGAAACGCCUACCAUCUCUUAUCUAGGGUUACCUACCCAUCACCGCCCUCGAUACCGAGAAAGAGGUUUCCUUGAGGUGAACCGCAGCAUAUGUGUCACUGGUGGGGGUGAUCUUCUCAAGUAUACUUCUGUUGUUCGCACCGAUGGUCGGCUCUGUGGCCCACUUGAACAUCGCCAGGGUUACAACAUUAUCACUGAUGUUUUGAAGGCAACGGAGAGUGUUGACAUGGAGUGGGACCGGGUUACGUUUGUGACAGCUUAUGAAUUCUGGCGUCACAACACCUCUGAACUUCUCCUGCGCGAUGCUGUCCCCGAGUACCCUCUUGUCAGCAUGGACGACCCUAGCAUUAUACACUUUUUGCUGUCUGAGGAAAGAGAGAAGAUUAACAAGGUUUCGGUUGUUAUGAUGGAUAUGGUUACCAACAAAAUGAUUUCAGUUGUUCCAUAUAUUAAAGGAGAGGAAGACCUCGAUGGCGAAGAUGCCGACAUGGUCAGAGAAAAAUCACACCUUCUCAAGUCCUUCCUUACAUCCGAGUUCCCCAAGUUUCUUAAUCUCACAAGGGAUUGCUGA
rnacentral:rRNA from 1 species